rnacentral:rRNA from 1 species
GACGAACGCUGGCGGCGUGCUUAACACAUGCAAGUCGAACGGAAAGGCCCUGCUUUUGUGGGGUGCUCGAGUGGCGAACGGGUGAGUAACACGUGAGUAACCUGCCCUUGACUUUGGGAUAACUUCAGGAAACUGGGGCGAAUACCGGAUAGGAGCUCCUGCUGCAUGGUGGGGGUUGGAAAGUUUCGGCGGUUGGGGAUGGACUCGCGGCUUAUCAGCUUGUUGGUGGGGUAGUGGCUUACCAAGGCUUUGACGGGUAGCCGGCCUGAGAGGGUGACCGGCCACAUUGGGACUGAGAUACGGACCAGACUCCUACGGGAGGCAGCAGUGGGGAAUAUUGCACAAUGGGCGGGAGCCUGAUGCAGCAACGCCGCGUGCGGGAUGACGGCCUUCGGGUUGUAAACCGAUUUCGCCUGUGACGAAGCGUGAGUGACGGUAAUGGGUAAAGAAGCACCGGCUAACUACGUG